rnacentral:rRNA from 1 species
GAUUAGCCGGUUGGUGAGGUAACGGCUCACCAAAGCAACGAUCAGUAGCUGCUCUGAGAGGACGACCAGCCACACUGGGACUGAGGCACGGCCCAGACUCCUACGGGAGGCAGCAGUGGGGAAUUUUGGACAAUGGGCGCAAGCCUGAUCCAGCUAUUCCGCGUGUGGGAUGAAGGCCCUCGGGUUGUAAACCACUUUUGUAGAGAACGAAAAGACACCUUUUAAUAAAGGGUGUUGCUGACGGUACUCUAAGAAUAAGCACCGGCUAACUACGUGCCAGCAGCCGCGGUAAUACGUAGGGUGCGAGCGUUAAUCGGAAUUACUGGGCGUAAAGGGUGCGCAGGCGGUUGAGUAAGACAGAUGUGAAAUCCCCGAGCUUAACUCGGGAAUGGCAUAUGUGACUGCUCGACUAGAGUGUGUCAGAGGGAGGUGGAAUUCCACGUGUAGCAGUGAAAUGCGUAGAUAUGUGGAAGAACACCGAUGGCGAAGGCAGCCUCCUGGGACAUAACUGACGCUCAGGCACGAAAGCGUGGGGAGCAAACAGGAUUAGAUACCCUGGUAGUCCACGCCCUAAACGAUGUUAACUAGUUGUUGGGAAGUAA